GUGCCGAGUCUUUGCGCACCACCUCUCUCGCGCAAUUCCCCCCUUGGUUCUUUCUUCUUGUUCGGUUGCCUUUACCCUCUCUGUUUUUUCUUUUUGUUUUGUUUGAAAAAACCCUAAUGCCGAGGAUGGAUUUCCCCCUGUUUUUCUCCACACACUGUCUCUUUCUUGAUGUCUGGUGCGGCGACUCCGAAGAAGUCUAGUCGUCCUGGAUCUUUAUCCACUGCAAUUUCCUCACAGUUUUUAUAUAUAAAACUAAAAAGAAUUCAAGUUACUGCAGUUUAGUCGUUUGGACGAGAACUGUAGGUGCUUGUGCCCUACUCUGCUUCUGCCUUACUCUGCUUCUUCGUCUGAUCUAGUCUCUAGUGGUGAGUAGGAGAGCCCGACCACUGUCGCCGCUCGCGUUGCUCCCGUGCGAGCGACACGGGCGGAACCCAGAAACCUAGCGCCCCCACCGCGAGAUCCACCCCUCCUCUCCCGCCGCCGCCGGAGGAAGCUGCAGGGCGAAGCCGCUGCAGCCGACGGCGGCGGCGGGGGCCUUGCUCGCGUCGUGGGAUGGCCCUGGUCACGGUCGUGCCUCCCUCGGUGACCGCGGCGGCGGAUUUGGCAAGGGCGCUCGGAUUCGACUCGUCCGGCUCCGGUGGCCUGCCUCAUCGUCGACAUGAAGGUGCCGUUGCUCGAGCGCGGCCCAUGGUCUGCUAGGUGGUGGAGGGGCGCUCGGGGGUGGCGCUGGCGCCCAGAUCCACCUCGUCCUUCUCAGGUGCGUCGGGGGCUGGCCUGCUCCUUUCCUUCAGCGCUGUCUCGAUCCGGCCUGCCUCUGUGCGCCGCUGCAUCUUGCGGCGGCCCUCGGCUUCUCCGGCGAGUGACUGUUCCAGCUCGGGGAGGCGCGACCCUGGCUGUUCCUGUGCUCGAUGGGGCAGACUAAUUUCUGCCCAGAUCCGGUGCGCGCCGAUGUGGUCUCGCAAGAUCCGGGCAGCACACGCCCUGAAGAUGCCGUCAUGGUUUGUUGGUUGCUCACGCUCCGGAUGCAAAAUUCUGGGUCGACUUGGUCGACGCCGGUGGCAACGGCGGCUGUGGCUGUCGUUUUCCUCGCGGAGGGGCCGCCGUGGAGCUGUUUUUCAGCCGCAAACCUCCUGUUUCGUUGUUUUCCGGGUGAAAACCUAUGGUCGGGCUUGCCGGAUCGGGUGGCGGUGGUGUCUCUGGCAUCAUUCCCUUCUUGGAGGCGCCAUCUUGGAGACACGAACUUCGGCUAGUGUUGGUGUGUGUGGAUGAAAGAGGUGCGGCUGGUGGUCUGUUUGUGCGGCCGACUGGGGUCGACGGUGGUGUGUGAUGUGGUGGUGGAGUGGUGGUGGUGCGGCCGGCUUGCGCUGGUGUGCACGGUGAAGCGAUCCGGGUGUAGACUCGGCUCCUUGAUGCCCUUCGGCUUCGCCGGCGGUGCCGCUGUUGUGUUGUAGCCUCGGCUGCGUGUGACUCUUCGUCCGGGUGUGGACUCGGUCGCUCAUUGCCCUUCGGCUGCACCAAUAGCCUUGAGGCACCAUGGAUGGUCUCGGUUGAUUGGAGCUCUUCGUCUACGGUGGUGGUGUUCUCGUGCAGCUCAGGUGCUACCGGAAGUGAUCGAAGGCCUUCAGUAUGGGCAAUCUGUGCUGCUGUGUUCAAGUUGACCAGUCUACCGUGGCCAUCAGGGAGCAGUUUGGGAAGUUUGACAGUGUGCUUGAGCCAGGAUGCCACUGCCUGCCUUGGAUCUUUGGGAAGCGUGUAGUUGGCCAUCUCACACUGAGGUUGCAGCAGCUGGAUGUGCGGUGUGAAACUAAGACAAAGGACAAUGUGUUUGUCACUGUUGUUGCAUCGAUUCAGUACCGACCUCUGGCUGGCAAAGAAAGUGAUGCAUACUACAAACUAACCAACACAAGAUCCCAGAUUCAAGCCUAUGUCUUUGAUGUGAUCAGGGCAAGUGUUCCAAAGCUCAACCUGGAUGAUGCUUUCGUGCAGAAGAACGAUAUAGCAAUGGCUGUGGAGGAUGAACUUGAAAAGGCUAUGUCGGCAUAUGGCUUUGAGAUCGUGCAGACCCUCAUUGUCGACAUCGAGCCAGAUGCGCAUGUCAAGCAGGCGAUGAAUGAGAUCAAUGCAGCUGCAAGGAUGAGGGUGGCUGCAAACGAGAAGGCGGAGGCUGAGAAGAUUGUCCAGAUCAAGCGUGCCGAGGGUGAAGCAGAGGCCAAGUACCUGUCUGGCCUCGGUAUCGCCCGCCAGCGCCAGGCCAUUGUGGAUGGCCUGAGGGACAGCGUCCUGGGCUUCUCAGUCAAUGUGCCUGGCACCACUGCAAAGGACGUGAUGGACAUGGUGCUGAUCACCCAGUACUUUGAUACUAUGAAAGAGGUCGGCGCGUCCUCCAAGUCCUCGGCGGUGUUCAUCCCCCAUGGCCCUGGUGCGGUGCGUGACAUCGCCACGCAGAUCCGCGACGGUCUUCUUCAGGGCCAGUCUGCCUCUGACAACUAAGCAGUUUGCUUCGCCGGCAUGAACUUUGAAGCUGGUGGUGGUUUGUGGUUUGCUAGCUAUUGCCUACAGUACUGUCUAAUAUGAUGCGUGCCGUAUGAUUAUGACUUAUAUGGAACCAUAUGUGGAUCUUGGCUUAGGUCGAUGUGCGGUAACAAAACCUUUAACCUAUUGGGAAUGCAGGACGAUAUAAGUGUGUUAUGAAAUGCUGGUGAUGAACUUGAUCUAAUGCUUUUGCCUGCCUUUUAGUGCUGUCAGUUUCAUGUAAAAUGCUGGUUUAAGGUUACAUAUUUCUCAUGGGUGAUUUCUUC
rnacentral:rRNA from 1 species